GAGGAAAGCGGGGGGCGUGCUUAACACAUGCAAGUCGAACGGAAAGGCCCUGCUUUUGUGGGGUGCUCGAGUGGCGAACGGGUGAGUAACACGUGAGUAACCUGCCCUUGACUUUGGGAUAACUUCAGGAAACUGGGGCUAAUACCGGAUAGGAGCUCCUGCUGCAUGGUGGGGGUUGGAAAGUUUCGGCGGUUGGGGAUGGACUCGCGGCUUAUCAGCUUGUUGGUGGGGUAGUGGCUUACCAAGGCUUUGACGGGUAGCCGGCCUGAGAGGGUGACCGGCACCAUGGGACUUAGGAUCCGGCCCAAACCCUUCGGGGAGCAAGAAGUGGGGAAAUUGCCACAAUGGGGGGAACCGUAAUCAACCACCCCGCGGUCGGGAUUGAGGCCUUUCGGGUUGAAACCCGCUUUCCCUGUGACGAAGCGUGAGUGACGGUAAUGGGUAAAGAAGCACCGGCUAACUACGUG
rnacentral:rRNA from 1 species